GUCGCGAGUGGAGUCUGCGUCGCUAGUGGAGCCGCGCCGCCGCUUAACAGUGCGAACGCCGAACCGCGAACCCUGACAGUCGGCGCCCGCGAUACAGUCUUCGCGAGUGUCCGCGCACCGAAUCGGCGCCCUCCGCGAUCCUUGCUGCGCGCGACGCCACCGCCGCAGCUGCCUCCGUAUCAGACGUCGAUUAUAACGAGGAGACACCGCAGUGAUGCCCCCGCCAUAUUGAGAACUGCCCGUCCGGCUCGAUCCCGCUAGCAGUAAGGUGACGCCGAGCACAGACAGAUGGCGUACAAAAUAGUGUAGUGUUCUGUGGACGGAAGCAGGAGCGACCUGGACAGGCGGCCGUCGCCCAGCGCCGCAGAAGACGACGUCUCGGACGGCCGACUCUACACGCAGUGAGCGAUGCCGCUGCGAGGCGCGCGCGGCGGCCGCGACUGCAGCCCUGCGGCGAGCGUGAGCAGCGGGGCGAGCUGGAGCAGCGGCUGCAGCGUGGGCGGC